rnacentral:sRNA from 1 species
CGCGGGAGCCAUCGUUCCGGCGUUCUGAUCCAAAGCAAAGCUGAAAGGCCCUCGCGCAAUUGCGCGAGGGCCUUUUUUAUGACGGCU